rnacentral:rRNA from 1 species
CUCGUAGGUGGUUUGUCGCGUUGUUCGUGAAAACUCACAGCUUAACUGUGGGCGUGCGGGCGAUACGGGCAGACUGGAGUACUGCAGGGGAGACUGGAAUUCCUGGUGUAGCGGUGGAAUGCGCAGAUAUCAGGAGGAACACCGGUGGCGAAGGCGGGUCUCUGGGCAGUAACUGACGCUGAGGAGCGAAGGCGUGGGGAGCGAAUA